UUAGUUUUAAUAAAAUUAAUUAUUUCCUAUAAAAUCAAAAUUUAUCGUGCCAUAUACACUAAAAAC
rnacentral:tRNA from 1 species